rnacentral:misc_RNA from 1 species
AUGACGUCCUGCAGAGUAAGACACUACCUCUCCAUGUGGCGACUUAACGUGCUUGUAUUCAGUAUAUUAUUUGCUAGACCGUGCAUGUGUCCACCGCGAAUUUUUAAGUCGCUGCAUCACAGCAUGCAACAGCAAAUAUGAAGAACGGAGUAUACGUGGCACAGAACAAAUCUACACAGCAGCAUAGGUACUCAGCAGCUGGACAGCACCUUGUGUGCCAAAAGAACAUACCAUGACUAAGUGUGUAUUAAAACACAUAGCAGCAAGACGUCUGUAAACUACAUGACUGACAAAAGAUCAUUUUGGCAUGAACAGUGGAAUGCCACAUGGCAAAGUAACCUGUACCUGCAAGAUCCUGGUGGACAGAUGGGACUUAUAAACUAUGCAAGGCUAUGUGCAGCCGACCUUCAGUUGGAGCUCAGAGGAGACAUCAUAGGGUAAUUAUGCAGGAGACUUGGUAUUCUAGAUGGCAUGUACAUUCUCAUCCCUGGUGCAUCACAGUGGAAAAGAUACAUGAUAGUUAUAAUUUUCUUACAGUACACCUGUACAUGAGAAAUAAAAUCUUUUCAAGCCCACAUAGUAGUCAUCUCAACCAAAGAGAAGCAAAAGGCUAGAGCAAAACAGAUAUCUACUCCAGGAACUUGUUCAUAAAAUUUGGGCAAAAAAAAAAAUGUUUGCAACGUAUGGUGUAUAUAUAUAUAGUACAAAACUGCUUUUAUGUUAACUUGCAGAGUGUUCUAUUCAGUGAGGAUUGGGUUUGUGGUUAUGUUUUAACUUAUUGACUGACAUUAAGGAACAGUUGUGCUUCUGUCAUCGUCACUGAAUGUUUCUUUUUAAGGAAUCUAGCAUUUCUUGUAUGUUGUCACAACUCUUAUAUUAUUUUAAUGUUUUGAUGCCACUGGAUUAUGUUUUUAUUUAGAUGUUUGGCUGUUAAAAUACUGUUAAAUUUCAGCACUUGUCUAAUUGGUUAGACAGUAAUUGAGACAACAGCAACAGGUUUUGUUUUUCUGGACAGCCUGCUGAAUGGGCUUAUGUUUUGUUUUUACUAUGUAAAACAAAAAACUGUUAACUAUCUUUGUCACCACUAUAUAAGGUUCUGUCUUUUGUACAUGCUCAAAGCAGUAGAUAACUAGAGAAAGACAAAAGGAAACUUUACUAUCCAUUCCAGUUUUGCACUGCUGGUUUUCAGGGCUUCUCCAAGGGACAUCAUUCUGUGUUAAGUUAUUCAAUUCUGUACUAUAAUUUUAAAUGCUGAAAAUUUAUUACUUUCAAAUCUAAGUAAGUCCAAACUUAUUCUGAUAUUCCAUUUUUCCAUUUAAUUUUGCAUCAUCCUUCUUGUACACAUAAUAUGCUCUUUAUACAUCACAGCAUUGCACUUAUAUACAAACAUUUACUCAAAUCUUGAUACAAAACUAAGGUGUCAUAGUUGAUAGAUGGGCAAUAAUGAGGUUAGAGUACAAAAACCAGCAAAUGAUCUAAUGGUCAUCACAAAUUCUUUCAGUUUCAAGCAAAAUUUAGAUAUUGCUGUAAAUCUGUUCUGUUUCUGAGAUUUAUAGUGGGUAUUUAAUACAAUUAGCAUUCGGACAACCAUUUUUUACACAAGACUUCUUUUUAUUAGACAAAAGCAAUUAUUUUGGUGAUCAAAGUUUCCGCAAUUUUGGGACAAAAUACUAUCCCAGCCUGCCAUAGUUCAUCGGCCCCAAAAGGACCCUUUCGGGCUGAGAAAUGGGCUCCUUUAGGGAAGUUACACUCCCAGCCCGGCUGGAAAUGGAAGCAGGAUCAGCAUCGGCUCCUUGCAGGGUUUAGAAGAACUUACACACCUCUCGGCCCUUCAAAGCCCCACCCUAAACCUAAUUAACCUUCACCUUGUCCCAAAUUUCCCUCUUAGCAGCAUUGACACAUUAGAAAACAAUGUUACAUCUUUCAGACAUUUAAUUGCAGGUGCCUUCGUUCACUCUUACUCUUGGUAAACACCAAAAGACAAAAAAAUUGGCAUGAUUCAACAAUUUAUUAUAUACAAGCAAAAUAUAAACAUGGUUUUAAUAUUUAUUUACAACAAAGAACUUGUCGCAAAUGCCUGAACCAAAAAAAAAAAAAUCAU